rnacentral:siRNA from 1 species
AUCCGGUUAACAAAACUUUUAGUU